rnacentral:lncRNA from 1 species
GGUCCUGGGUGGCCUUGCCUGCUAGCAAAGCACCCGCUGUGCAUCGUUCUCGCCUGUGAGCACCCAGAGGAAGUUCACCGCCACCUUCCCCUUCUACCACCUAUGAGAAAAGGCCACCCUCUCUUGGAUUUGAUCCCAGAGCUCUGGGUCGAAGGCAGGGACUUCCUAUAAGUGUUCCUGCAGAGAUUGUCAUCUUGUUGGCAGGAGAAUGGCACCUUACCGAGUAAGAAUGAGGACUGCAAGAGGAUGGGGCACAAGAAGCCCGAGAGGAAGAAAAGCAGUGAGACACCUUCAGUCU